rnacentral:tRNA from 1 species
AGUAUUUUAGCUCAUUUGGUAGAGCAUUUGUCUGUCAAACAAAAAGUAAUUGGUUCGAUUCCAAUAAAUAUUU